rnacentral:rRNA from 1 species
AUAGAAAGCUGGCGGCAGGCCUAACACAUGCAAGUCGAACGAGUGGCGGACGGGUGAGUAAUGUCUGGGAAACUGCCUGAUGGAGGGGGAUAACUACUGGAAACGGUAGCUAAUACCGCAUACCAUCGGAUGUGCCCAGAUGGGAUUAGCUAGUAGGUGGGGUAAAGGCUCACCUAGGCGACGAUCCCUAGCUGGUCUGCGAGGAUAACCAGCCACACGGGAACUUGGACACGGUCCAGACUCCUACGGGAGGCAGCAGUGGGGAAUAUUGAACAAUGGGCGCAAGCCUGAUGCAGCCAGGCCGCGGGGAUGAAGAAGGCCUUCGGGUUGUAAAGUACUUUCAGCGGGGGGGCGUUACCCGCAGAAGAAGCACCGGCUAACUCCGUGCCAGCAGCCGCGGUAAUAC